GCUACCCAGCUGCCCCCAAUGUUCUUUCUUUAAAGGAAAGAAUUUGAAGGAGAAUUUGGAUCUUUGGAAGAAAAAGUAACAUCUUACGUUUCACAAAAUAAAAAAGAUUCCCAGGUAUCAGCAAGUUUGCAGAAUCUCAUUGACCCUGAGACAAAGAGAUGUUCAAUGGUUGAUGAAGCACAGAAUUAAAGAAUUUUCAAUACUGAAGUUGCUUCUAGGGUAGAAGCACUCAUGGGAGUCACCCAGAUGCCACUGUAUCCUUGGCAACUAUUCUAGCCUGAAGCCCUGGACAUUGCCUACAGUCAAUACCUCUCUCCUGAAAAUAGGUACAUCUCCAGCACAGACAAGGGAAGACAUACUAAAAAGGGAGUAGAACCAUCCUUAUCUUCGUGGAAAGGAAGUUUUAAAUUUCUGGCUUCUGAUGAAGAUACCCAGACUUCCUGGGACCCCUCCCCCAUGGAGGUGAGCAGAUCCACAAACUCUUCAGCCUGGAACUUUUUCUGUGUGCAAACCCUCUAUCACACAUGAUCAUUAUGUUGUGAAAGAAGAAAUACAUUGCUUUCACUAAAGAAAAGUUGAUGGAGUAAAUAAAGUAAAUAAUGGUAUGUUUCAAUUUGCUUUCAGACUAUUCUCUCUAGAGUGGU